rnacentral:rRNA from 2 species
UGGGGAAUUUUGGACAAUGGGGGAAACCCUGAUGCAGCGACGCCGCGUGAUUUAGAAGGCCUUCGGGUUGUAAAAAUCUUUUCUAUGGGAAGAAAAUGACAGUACCAUAGGAAUAAGGACCGGCUAAUUACGUGCCAGCAGCCGCGGUAAUACGUAAGGUCCGAGCGUUGUCCGGAAUCAUUGGGCGUAAAGGGUACGUAGGCGGGUAAGCAAGUUAGAAGUGAAAUCCUAUAGCUCAACUAUAGUAAGCUUUUAAAACUGCUCAUCUUGAGGUAUGGAAGGGAAAGUGGAAUUCCUAGUGUAGCGGUGAAAUGCGCAGAUAUUAGGAGGAAUACCGGUGGCGAAGGCGACUUUCUGGCCAUAACCUGACGCUGAGGUACGAAAGCGUGGGUAGCAAACAGG